GGACAGAGCGAGGGGGAAAGUUUUAUUCAGGGGGCUCAGGCUCAACUUUACUAUUAGGACAAAAAUUUGUGAAAGUAGAUCUUAAAUUCUUCUAUUGUUAUUUAAUGAGGAGCACAAACCUUUAUUUCAAGCCUCUGUAAGAAGACAUACAACUGAAGGAGAAGAUGAUCUGCAGGAUCCUCCUCAGCCUCGGCUCCUGUGUCUUUGGAUCAUUUGUAGUGAAUGUGACUCAGACCUCCUGUCAGGCAGAGGAGAACCACAACAUCACACUGGAGUGGACGUUCACAGUAGAAACAGGCAGAUCGCCCACAUAUCCAAACAUCUAUUGUGAACUGAUAACUGAUGAUAAACUCUCAGUCCUGUAUCAAGUCCGUGAUGGUGCUGAAGUCUCAGAGUCUCAGGAUGAAAAGUUUUCAGGACGAGUUCAGGGUGACGAAGACGCCCUCAGAGAAGGACGAAUCAGACUCCAGCUGUGCAGACUCACGACUGAGGACUCGGGUCGAUACAAUUGUAAAGUAAACACAGAUUAUGGUCUCAGCUCUGCGAGCUGUAGACUCAACGUCACUGCAGCUGCUGAUCAGAGAUCAACUUCACCACCACAAGAAGAGAGAGACUGGAAGAAUAUUCUAAUUGUCCUGACAGCAGGAGCAGCAUUAUUAGCUCUCUUAUGUUGUGCCCUUUACUUUGGGUCAUGCUGAGAAAGAAACAAGAGACCAAACUUCUAUGCAUUUGUAAAACUCCAUAAACUCUCAGGGACAGAGUCUGAAAACCAGUAUACUUCCUGCCUUUGACAUCUGCUUUAAGUACAUGAAGUUUCUUGUUGAUAUGAACUGUGUAAAUGGUUCUUAUAGAGCCCCUUUCUACUCUACUUGAGCACUGAAAGUACUUUAUACAGCAGGUCUCAUUCCCCCAUUCACAUUCAUGAAAACACUUUCUUAUAUCUCAAAGUGUUUUCUAUUUAACAUUCACACACCGAUGAACGCAUAAGGAGCAACUCAGGGUUCAGUAUCUUUCCCAGGGAUGAAUCAUCAACCUUCCAGUUAGUAAACGAGCUGCUCUGUCUCCAAUAGUUGUCAUAAAUGAUGUUCAUAAUAAUCUGAAACUGAGAUUACUGGAGUAAUUCUUCAUGUCAGUGUCAAUGAUGCUUCUGGUGUGGUCACUGCUUCUGUGGACUUCUCUCCUCCUGCUGCUUUAUUCAAAGUUACAUCCACCAGCUUCAUCUGAGUGACGACUGCACCGCCCUGAACACCAAAGAUUCAAUGUUGUGUGUUGAGUGGGAACUUUGUGUGGAACUAUUAACAAGUUGUUGAGUCAGUGAUGUCUGUUUAUAUCAUCCAUGCUUUCCUUUUUUCCCACUUAUCCAAUUCAGGAAUGCGGGAGACUGGAACACUCACACUCACAGCUUUGGGCAAUUUAGAAUCACCAGUUAACAUCACUGUAUGUGUUUGGACUGUGGGAUGUAGUUGGAGUACUGACGGAGAACCCACACAGACAUGGAGAACAUGCAACCUCUACACAGAAAGGCAAACCAAUGCACCAUCGUUCUCUCACCAGCUGCUUUUCUGACUUCUGAUGGGCUUUGUUAAAAUGCUCCAUAUCCAAAUGUUUCUGUUUAUCUUUUACUUGUAUAUAUAAGUCUCUAUUUAUGCAUCAGAUGCCAUUUUGGCUUUGACGUUUUUUUUUUUAAUGUAAUAGGAGGAUUUAUAACAAUACUCUAUAUUUUGUGUUAUAUCUUUUAUUUAUGUCAUUAUAAAAUGUUCCGCUAAUGUUCACUAUGCUAUGUGCUAUCAGGAACUUGAUGAACUUUUUAUUUUAUUUUUAAAUAAAGCUUUACAAUAAACUGUUCAGUUUUUUUAUUUUAGGUUUUAUUUUUACUGAUUAAACUGAACGAUGUGAGCACUUUUGAAUGUUUUAUCUGAUUUUGAAUGAAAGAUUCAAACAAUAAAAAAUAUUUACAUCUCAUCAUUUAUCUCCUCGCUGUAAUACUGCUGUGUCUUUGCAGCAGAUAAAGAAAGAUGCUGCGUUUUGAACAGCAAAUAAAGAUUCGGAUCGAAA